rnacentral:rRNA from 1 species
AGUGAACGCUGGCGGCGUGCUUAACACAUGCAAGUCGAACGAGAACGGGCUAUAGCUUGCUAUAGUUGUCAGCUAAGUGGCGCACGGGUGAGUAAUGUAUAGGUAAUAUGCCUCUUACUAAGGGAUAACAAAUGGAAACGUUUGCUAAUACCUUAAACUCCUUAUUAACAGAAGUUAAUAAGGGAAAGAUUUAUUGGUAAGAGAUUAGCCUGUAUUGUAUCAGUUAGUUGGUGGGGUAAUGGCUUACCAAGACUAUGACACAUAACUGGUUUGAGAGGAUGAUCAGUCACACUGGAACUGAGACACGGUCCAGCCUCCUACGGGAGGCAGCAGUGGGGAAUAUUGCACAAUGGACGAAAGUCUGAUGCAGCAACGCCGCGUGGAGGAUGACACAUUUCGGUGCGUAAACUCCUUUUAUAUGAGAAGAUAAUGACGGUAUUAUAUGAAUAAGCACCGGCUAACUCCGUGCCAGCAGCCGCAGUAA